rnacentral:rRNA from 1 species
UACAGAGGGUGCAAGCGUUAAUCGGAGUUACUGGGCGUAAAGGGCGCGUAGGCGGCUUAUUAAGUGAGAUGUGAAAUCCCCGGGCUUAACCUGGGAACUGCAUCUUAUACUGGUGAGCUAGAGUACUGUAGAGGGUAGUGGAAUUUCCGGUGUAGCGGUGAAAUGCGUAGAGAUCGGAAGGAACACCAGUGGCGAAGGCGGCUACCUGGACAGAUACUGACGCUGAGGCGCGAAAGCGUGGGGAGCAAACAGG